GCGCGGUUGGCGCAGUGGUCUAGCGCGUCACUCGAUUUGGGUAGUUAGGGUUGAAAUUCCCAUAGAACCACAGUCAAAGACCGUUUUGCUGAGGGCCAGUCUGAACACAAAUCUCCUGGUGAAGGUCCCGGGUUCGAGUCUCGGACCGCGCA